CCAUCUUAAAUUCUCUCUAUUUAUUCAUUUCUUUAUUUCAACUCCAAUUCCACAUGUCCGAAGGUCCAACUCCCUCUUCGUGUGGUAUUCUAUCCGACGAAAGUUUAAAUUGCUGAAAGGUAAAUUUAAAUAGAAGUUUCAAAUUUUUUUUAUUUGGAUGAGUUGUUUGAAUGUUGUUGGGGUUUUGUUGGGGUUUAUUAUUGUUUCAGCUUAUAUUUUGGUUUUGGAAAUUUUAUAGUUGAAUGAGAUGCUGAUUUUCUUUGUAAAUUUCUGUUUAUGAUUAUUGAGCAGUUUACAGUUUGGUUUGGUUUGGCGAAUUUUAUGGGCAUUGAAUAUGUGAGUUUUGUGGGAGGGAAUUUUAUUGUAGAAAAGAGUAGAGUUAGUUCAUGUUAUAAAUGUUUUAGUGUAGAGAUUGUGAAAGGUAUAAAGAAAAAGCAUGUUUUGUGAAAGAGGGCCAUGAAAGUGGAAGAAAAGAUUAAAAAAGGAAGGUUUAUAUGGAGAAAGGUAGGUUAGGAAGAAGUUCUUGGCUAAAAAUAUGAAUUGUGUUUUUCACAUUAUUUUAUAGUUUUUUCCUUACAAAAUAUUGUCAGUUUUGUCUGCAUAAUUUUAGCUUCUAAUUUUUUUUUUAUAGUUUUUAUAAAAUCGCAAUUUUUUAUGUAGGUUAUUUUUAUAUUAGAAGAUAUUAAUUGACAUUUUUUUGGAAGGAUCUAAAUAAUGUAAUAAAACAGUAUGUAGUAUUCUAAAAAUUGAAACAUAGUAAAAAGCCUAAAACAAUUUUUCAAGGCCUUUAUCCAGCCGGUCUUGUGGGAAGCACAUUCUGUGAGUCAUUUAUUAGAAGAAUGUUUUCUGGAUUGAAAUUUAUUGAAAACAUAGGUUUCCUAGAUAGUUAAUGUAAAAUGUAUAAUAUUCAAUAUUAACUUUGAUUUGCAUUAAUAAAUUAAUUAGCUUGUGAAUACAAAUUAGUACUGAAUUUUUUUAUUUUAACAACUUAUUUUAUUUAAAAUAUUAUAUAUAUAUAUAUAUAUAUACAUAUAUAUAUAUAUAUAGAUAUACAUAUAUAUAUAUAGAUAUACAUAUAUAUAUAUAUACAUAGAUAUACAUACAUAUCUAUAUAUCUAUAAUAUAUAUAUAUAUAUAUAUAUAUAUAUAUUUUUUUAUUUUUAUUUUUUGUUAAAAGAAAUUAAAAGUUGCUGGUGCAUAAAAUAAACAGGGGUGGCAGAUAGUAAAAGUGAUGGGCCAGUUGAAUGAUUCGAGGUUUUAAAACUGAGUGCAGGUAUAAUAAGCGUGGUGGUGCAGAUAAGAAAAUGGUGUGCAGCAGAAUGGUGCCAGGCUUUUCAAAAGAUUGUGUACAUAUAUGAAGUAUAUGGUCCAAAUAGUAAAGUGCUGGGAGUAUUAAUAUCAAAGAGAGGGGGUCUGAAAAGUAUUUGUCCUAUCUUAUAAUAAUUUUAGAAUUUUCAAAGUUAUUAAAUUCUCAUUAAAAAACUAGUACUGGA
rnacentral:lncRNA from 1 species